rnacentral:rRNA from 1 species
AUGCCGGGUGUUCCCAGGGGACUGGCUGAGCACCGCCUACGAGUCGACUCAAAAGUAAAACCUAUCAAAGAACAUCUUCAACGGUCCGCCGUCCAGAAGAGAAAGGCUAUUGGUGAGGAGGUGGCUCGGCUCUUAGCAGCGGAGUUCAUCCGAGAGAUCUACCACUCCGAGUGGCUCGCCAACGUUGUCAUGGUCCCCAAGAAGGACAGGUCACUUCGCAUGUGCAUUGACUUUAAACAUAUCAAUCAGGCCUACCCAAAAGAUCAUUUUCCUCUCCCCCGCAUCGACCAGAUAGUCGACUCGACUGCGGGAUGUGAGCGACUGUCUUUUUUAGACGCCUAUUCCGGGUACCAUCAGAUCCGUCUGUAUGGGCCUGACGAGAUCAAAACAGCUUUCAUCACUCCGGUCGGGUGCUUCUAUUAUGUUACCAUGCCAUUCGGCCUCAACAAUGCUGGAGCCACAUUCAUGAGGAUGAUUCAGAAAUGUUUGCUCACUCAAAUCAGUCGGAAUGUGGAAGCAUACAUGGACGAUAUUGUGGUCAAGUCACGGAAGGGUUCCGACCUGCUGACUGACCUUGUUGAAACAUUUGCCAACCUCAGGAGGUAUGAUAUCAAGCUUAAUCCAUCAAAGUGCACAUUCGGAGUUCCUGGCGGAAAGUUACUCGGUUUCCUCGUUUCCGAACGGGGAAUCGACGCCAAUCCGGAAAAAGUCGGUACUAUACUCCAAAUGAAAAGUCCUGUGCGAGUGCACGACGUCCAGAAGCUUACUGGUUGCUUGGCCGCUUUAAGUCGAUUCAUCUCUCGUCUCGGUGAAAAGGCAUUGCCUCUUUACCGCUUGAUGAAGAAGUCAGACAAGUUCGAGUGGACUCCUGAAGCUGAUGCAGCGUUUGCAGAGCUCAAAGCUCUGCUCUCCACCCAGCCGGUGCUUGCUGCCCCAAUCAGCAAAGAGCCUUUGCUGCUUUACAUCGCAGCCACGGGACAAGUCGUCAGUAUGGUACUUACGGUCGAGCGGGAAGAAGAAGGAAAAGCCUUCAAAGUUCAGUACCCAGUAUAUUAUAUUUCUGAAGUUUUGACCCCGUCAAAGCAAAGAUAUCCUCAUUAUCAGAAGCUUGUAUAUGGGAUUUAUAUGACCACAAAGAAGGUUGCUCACUACUUCUCUGAUCAUUCCAUUACAGUCGUCAGCGACGCUCCAUUGUCAAAGAUCCUGCACAACAGAGAUGCAACUGGUCGAGUGGCAAAAUGGGCGAUUGAACUCCUUCCUCUAGAUAUCAAGUUUGAGGCAAAGAAAGCUAUCAAGUCCCAGGCAAUAGCAGAUUUCGUCGCCGAGUGGAUUGAACAACAACUGCCGACUCAGGUUCACUCGGAGCAUUGGACCAUGUUCUUUGACGGUUCCAAAAUGUUGAAUGGUUCUGGUGCCGGGGUAGUAUUGGUCUCCCCCCGAGGAGAUAAGCUCAGAUAUGUCCUUCAAAUCCACUUUGAUUCCUCCAAUAACGAGGCAGAAUAUGAAGCACUUUUAUAUGGGUUGCGCAUGGCCAUUUCACUCGGCGUCCGUCGCCUCAUGGUCUAUGGCGACUCAGAUUUGGUGGUUAAUCAGGUGAUGAAGGAGUGGAACGUCAGAAGUCCAGCCAUGACUGGUUAUUGCAAUGCAGUGAGAAAGCUGGAGAAGAAAUUCGAGGGGUUAGAACUUCAUCACAUACCCCGACUGAAAAAUCAAGCAGCUGAUAAUUUGGCAAAAAUAGGCUCCAAAAGAGAAGCCAUUCCCAGCAAUGUGUUUUUGGAACACAUCCACACACCAUCAAUUCAGGAGGAUCCCUUCACUGAAGAGGCCCCGCAGCCAAAAAGUGCCACGGAUCCGACUGAAGUUGAAGUUCCAGCUGUGGUCGACCUGAUCAUGGAAGUCUUGGUCAUCACUCCCGACUGGACAAUACCGUACAUCACGUACAUCCUAAGGAAAGAACUCCCGGAGGACGAAGAAGAGGCUCGACAGAUCGUCCGUCGAUCCAAAGCCUUUACAGUCGUAAAGGGACGGUUGUAUAGAGAAAACGCGGCUGGAGUCAGUCAGAAGUGUAUAACACCAGAAGAAGGUCAGAUGAUCCUUGAUGAUAUCCACUUGGGGACCUGUGGUCAUCAUGCCUCCUCUCGGACCAUUGUGGCUAAAGCAUACCGAGCGGGAUUCUACUGGCCAAGAGUGAAUGAAAUGGCGAAAGAGAUAGUCGACAAAUGUGAAGGAUGUCAGUAUUACUCCAAUAUGUCGCACAAGCCCGCGCCAGCCCUGAAAACCAUUCCACUCGUCUGGCCCUUCGCUGUUUGGGGGCUGGACAUGGUUGGACCACUGAGAACGGGCAGGAGCGGCUUCACUCAUGUGCUAGUAGCAGUCGACAAGUUCACCAAAUGGAUUGAAGCUAAGCCUAUGAAGAAUCUUGAUGCUUGCACUGCUAUCAGUUUCAUCAGAGAGUUGAUAUUCACAUAUGGAGUUCCGCACAACAUCAUCACUGACAAUGGGUCAAACUUCGAUUUCGACAAAUUCAGGGCCUUUUGCGCCUCUCAGGGCACACGAGUCGACUAUGCUUCGGUCGCUCACCCCCAGUCGAAUGGACAAGCGAAAAGAGCAAACGGCUUAAUUCUCAAAGGACUGAAACCUCGAUUGAUGUGCGACCUCAAGCACGCAGCAGGUGCAUGGGUCGACGAGCUUCCAUCAGUUCUUUGGGGAUUGAGGACAACCCCGAACCGAUCGACCGGAAGAACCCCAUUCUUUCUGGUCUACGGGGCCGAAGCAGUUUUGCCGAGUGACCUGCUUCACAACGCACCCUGA